GUGAGGAAUAUUGGUCAAUGGGCGGGAGCCUGAACCAGCCAAGUCGCGUGAAGGAAGAAGGAUCUAUGGUUCGUAAACUUCUUUUGCAGGGGAAUAAAGUGCAGGACGUGUCCUGUUUUGUAUGUACCCUGAGAAUAAGGAUCGGCUAACUCCGUGCCAGCAGCCGCGGUAAUACGGAGGAUCCAAGCGUUAUCCGGAUUUAUUGGGUUUAAAGGGUGCGCAGGCGGGUUGAUAAGUCAGCGGUGAAAGUUUGCAGCUUAACUGUAAAAUUGCCGUUGAAACUGUCGAUCUUGAGUGCAAAUGAGGUAAGCGGAAUGUGUUGUGUAGCGGUGAAAUGCUUAGAUAUAACACAGAACACCGAUUGCGAAGGCAGCUUACUGGGAUGCAACUGACGCUCAUGCACGAAAGCGUGGGGAUCAAACAGGAUUAGAUACCCUGGUAGUCC
rnacentral:rRNA from 1 species